GUUUUAUAUGACGGGAAGUGCCUUAACAACACAAAACAUUCCAGGAAUGUACUACCAAAGUUCUAUCAAUAUUUGAAUGUCCUGGACAUUUAGGGAACAUUCGAUGAACAUCUGAUUAAAUUAAUCCUGGAAUGUUACCACAAGACAUUCUGUGAACAUACUACCAAUGUUCCUAUAUUUCAAGUUGCCAAAUAAUAAAUACGUGUAACAGAUAUAACAUUACUUAUAACAGAAACUUGUGCAAAAACGAAGAGAGGCAUUUAUAAUGUUUCAACGUCAGCUGUCAACGUCAACGCAGAACAGAUAAAAGCAGAUUUGAAUAUCCGACCUUGUCAGUCAGCUGUUGUUACUAGGCCAAGGAUGGACGGGUGAUAUCGACACCCGGACCAUGAAAAAAGUUUAUAUGUUUUUUUGUGUAACGUGUAUGUGGCCGUUUCUUUCUGUUUUUUUGCUGUUUGCUGUUGUACGGAGGACUAAGCUAGCAUUCAAAAUUUAAAAAUCAAAUGUACAUUCCUAAGAUGCACUUUUUUACACCUCUAUGUAGCGGUACUUUUUUAGUAUUUGACCAUUAGCUCCGAUGAUGACGUUUAUGUCGAAAGCGCUCAGCUAAGGAAAUAAAAUUAUUUACACACUUUGACAUACUACAUUUUCAUUUUCCCUUAUUCAUUCAAGUGUGUACAAACUUAUCAGUCUUUCAACUAUUUAUAAUUAUUCUUUUGCGUUCAUUUUCAAAUUCGCCGCGCAUGUAUUUGUGCAUGGCGCUUAGAGAGGGCAUCACGAGACUAAAAACGACCAAUGUCGACCAACGACUUCACUUCGGCCAUCUUGGCCACCUUGCCGUGCGUGAUCGUUGUUUGUUUUUAUUUGUGCUUUUUAAGAAUAUUUUUUUAAUUCGGAUACUUUUAUAAUAACUUUAAUAGUAUUAUUAACAUAGUGCAUACAAUGGUGUCCUGUUCUCAACACAGUUGGAGUAGCAGAAGCAAUGUAGAUAAAAAAUCUGCAGAAAUAACGUUUCAAAGGUUAGUAUGCAAAUAUGUAAACAAAGGCAUGCCCCGUAUUUCAGAAAAUAAAAUGCAUAAAUCAGAAGAAUUAUUAUUUUAUUAGUUAAAAAUUGGUCAAAUCCAUUUAUUAUUUUAAUAAUUGCGAAUAAGCCACAAACUUAGCUUAUUCCUAGCUAAAAUAGUAAAUAAAGAUAAUAACAAAAGGAUUAUUUGUAAAAUUAAAAUAAUUCUUCUUCUUGCGUUUUUGCUAAUGUAUGCGUUUAUAAACAGGAUGGUAGACCACACACUAUAAUAGUACCAAUAAAUGAAUACACAGAAUAUUCUAGUCGGUUCGCUAAACUCAAUCUCAAUACCACUAAGUCUCAGACACAACUGGCUAGUGAUUUUAGUAAAUAAUUUUGCCAAUUUGGUAAAAUUGUCAAAAAAUUUUUUUUUUGUUUUGAUUCUGGCCUUGGUUCAGAACCUUUAGCCACGUAAUUACAUAUAAAAUUAUUAUUCGUUCAUAAGUAUAAAAUUGUCCAGUAUACACUUAAAAAUAAAGAAUAAUAAAAAAUAAAGCUUACAAAUAACAAUGUCUACUUACUAUGUUAAUAAAUACAACUAUGCUA